CCUUCAUCGUGCUGGUCUCGUGCCAGGGGUUCCCGGUGGGGAAAUUUGUCCCGCUUCCCAGGGGAAGAGGAGACGGUUGUGUCUCCCUACGAGAUGUUCUGGGUCACCAGGGUCAAGGAGACGCCAAGGAAGAAAACGGUGCACACCAAGUCGAAGGGAACAGUUCAAUGAGCUGCCAUGAUCACCGAGUGCUGUAUUUGUGAGGUGCCCACCACAUCAGAGCAAGAAGGGGAUGCAGCAACCCCCUGGGAUGCUUGUAGCCAGGAGCUCUGUAGAC